GAAGUUAAGGGUUCCUUCUUUCAUCUUCAAGGCUGCACAGAGCAGGCAGCAACAGAAAUUUUUCACUCCUUAUUCAAUCUGGUGAAGAAAUGAAAAGAGGAGUUUGUCUGACUGUCAACCUACGAGCACCAAACACGUGGAGGACUGUACACACACCUGUGGAGGAUGUAGAGGACCAUCUCUUUGCUUCCUGCACUGGCAGCGUGAUGACGUAACCUGCAGCCGAACGAGUCGAGUGACGUGAGGUCGGCUCCCUCCAGGUGGGGCUCCCUCCAGGUGCGGCUCCCUCCAGGUGGGGCUCCCUCCAGGUGCGGCUUCCUCCAGGUGCGGCUCCCUCCAGGUGCGGCUCCCUCCAGGUGGGGCUCCCUCCAGGUGCAGCUCCCUCCAGGUGCGGCUCCCUGCAGAUGAUGAUGAUUCGAUUCAAAGACACAUGGGCAGCCUGACCAAAACAAGACAAAGAGCUGUUAACAUGUAUGCUACACCACGCUGCCUCACCUGCUUCCUUCAACAUUUGGUGUUUCCUCGCUGUGAACUCUGAAGAGUAGGAUCUGUGCUGCAGCUGGAAGGAUUCUCUUCAGAUUAAAGUUUACUUGUUAGCUG